AAAUUGAAGAGUUUGAUCAUGGCUCAGAUUGAACGCUGGCGGCAGGCCUAACACAUGCAAGUCGAACGGUAACAGGAAGCAGCUUGCUGCUUCGCUGACGAGUGGCGGACGGGUGAGUAAUGUCUGGGAAGCUGCCUGAUGGAGGGGGAUAACUACUGGAAACGGUGGCUAAUACCGCAUAACGUCGCAAGACCAAAGAGGGGGACCUUCGGGCCUCUUGCCAUCAGAUGUGCCCAGAUGGGAUUAGCUAGUUGGUGAGGUAACGGCUCACCAAGGCGACGAUCCCUAGCUGGUCUGAGAGGAUGACCAGCCACACUGGAACUGAGACACGGUCCAGACUCCUACGGGAGGCAGCAGUGGGGAAUAUUGCACAAUGGGCGCAAGCCUGAUGCAGCCAUGCCGCGUGUAUGA
rnacentral:rRNA from 2 species